UACGAAGGGGGCUAGCGUUGCUCGGAAUCACUGGGCGUAAAGCGCACGUAGGCGGAUUGCUAAGUCAGGGGUGAAAUCCUGGAGCUCAACUCCAGAACUGCCUUUGAUACUGGCGACCUUGAGUCCGGGAGAGGUGAGUGGAACUGCGAGUGUAGAGGUGAAAUUCGUAGAUAUUGGGAAGAACACCGGUGGCGAAGGCGGCCAUCUGGACCGCAACUGACGCUGAGGCGCGAAAGCCAGGGGAGCGAACGGG
rnacentral:rRNA from 1 species